rnacentral:rRNA from 1 species
AUACGUAGGUGGCAAGCGUUGUCCGGAAUUAUUGGGCGUAAAGCGCAUGUAGGCGGUUUGGUAAGUCGGUCGUGAAAAUGCGGUGCUUAACGCCGUAUGGCGAUUGAAACUGCUGAACUUGAGUGCAGGAGAGGAAAGGGGAACUCCCAGUGUAGCGGUGAAAUGCGUAGAUAUUGGGAAGAACACCGGUGGCGAAGGCGCGUUUCUGGACUGUGUCUGCCGCUCAGAUGCGAAAGCCAGGGUAGCGAACGGGAUUAGAUACCCCGGUAGUCCUGGCCGUAAACGAUGGGUACUAGGUGUGGGAGGUAUCGACUCCUUCCGUGCCGGAGUUAACGCAAUAAGUACCCCGCCUGGGGAGUACGGCCGCAAGGCUUAAACUCAAAUGAAUUGACGGGG